ACCAAGAUGAAAGCGGUCCGGCGGUUUUUCGAGGAAGGUGACAAGGUCAAGCUGACAUUGCGCUUUCGCGGCCGCGAGAUGGCGCAUAUGGAACUCGGCAUGCAGCUUCUGAACAAGGUUCGCGAGGAAGUUGCACCCAUCGCCAAAGUCGAAGCCGAACCGAAGCUCGAAGGCCGCCAGAUGAUGAUGGUGCUGGCGCCCCGCUAAGCGAUUCCGCCAAAGCAAAGGCCGCUUCGGCGGCCUUUUGUUUGUUUUUGUCUUCGCCAUGAUUUCUCCGCAAGUUGCAUCGACAAG
rnacentral:misc_RNA from 1 species